GGUUAUUGACUCGCCUUGCAUUGCGCUGUGUUGGGGCAGUUUUCUAUCGUUUACAUGCAGUUUUUGGCCUGGUAGUUUCUACAUGCUGUGUUUGGCCGUCGUGCAAAAUUUUUAUGGCUACGAGGACUAAUAGAUUGUUUCCAACGACACCAAGUCAUCGAUGCCAUGUGUUCCAAAAUUCUGGCAUCUUUUGGACGAACUGAUCAGGAAGAUUGAAAAAAUUGUUUAAUGAAGAUAAGAUCUACCUGAGAGUGAAUUAACCAGACUGUCAGUGAAAGAACUGGUGACGACUACGUGAAGCAAACAUAUACCUGGAGAACGGUCUGCAUGAUUUACAGCAAUACUCAAGAAGGAACAACCUCGAACUAUCUGGGUUCGCAGAAUGUAGGGACA